rnacentral:lncRNA from 1 species
UGAGUUCCCUGUUUCCCUGCUGCAAUGGAAUUUGGGGCUCACAGAGCACCCCAGGGACCCCCCACCCCCAGGGAUCUCCAGGAUGGGAUACAGGGAGUGGUGGGUGGGGAGAGCGAGGGAAUCCUUGCACAAGCCUCUUCUCCCAGGAAGCUUUUUCAGGGAAGCUGAGCUCCUUUUGUCCAGGGAUGGCUCCUCUGUGCCAGGCAGGGAUGGCAGGAAUCCAUCCCAGAGACACAGGCUGCUCCUUGUCCUGCUGCUGGCCACAACCUCUCUGCCCCAUUUCCCUCGCAGAAAUCAGGGAUAAUUCCAUCCCAUCCCCAGGAACACAGGGAGGCCCUUCAGGCCCAGCCUCUGCCCUGGCACCUGAGCUCCCUGAGCUUUGGAGCAGGAGGAUUCCUCAUGGCAUCGCUCCAGGGUUAAAAUAUAACCUGGAAGCAGAAUUCCAGCCUGAUCCAGAUCAUUAUCAGGGAGCAACAUCUGAGACUGAAGGAGAAAGGGCUCAUUAGGGUGACACUAAUUCCCCCUCCCUGCCCUGCCAGAAGCAAGGGAAGGAGAUUAAAGUUCUUGCUCAGGGAGAGGAAAACCUCGAUAAACCCUGUGGAGCAAUCCUGGGAAAUGUGUCCCUGCCAGUUUUACUUCCUUGAAUCACAGAAAGGGAAGUUCCUGAGCCCAGCUGGUGUGUGGGGACCAUGGUUCUCUGCUGGAAUUAUGGGUGUGGAUGUAGCUCUCCAGCUCUAAAAUGUCAUUUAAUGUGGAAAACACAGCAACAAACCCUGCCAGCACCACAGCUUUGGUCUCUUUCCAAGGAAAUAAAGGUGUGAUAACCCCGUGGUUUCUCCCAGAGAGCAAGAGGGGGAGAUUUCCGUGUUCCCCGAGGAACAGAGAAUUCCCAGCACAAAUAAGGGAAGGAAGAAGGAGAACAGCUUGUGCUGCCCCCAGCGCCUCUCCAGGCUCUGAGGAUGGUUUUCCUCCUUCUCAAGGCCCAUGCAGCAAUAAAUUGUCUUGCAGUAUCAUGGGAAUGGUUAACCUUGAUUUGAGUUCAUGUACCACCUCCUUCCCUGCAAGGUCAAAUUCCAAAUAAUCCUCUGGAGAGGAAUGAAAUAAAGUCGGGGCUGCUCCCUGGGAUACA